rnacentral:rRNA from 1 species
UACGGGGGGGGCAAGCGUUGUUCGGAAUUACUGGGCGUAAAGGGCUCGUAGGCGGCCAACUAAGUCAGACGUGAAAUCCCUAGGCUCGACCUAGGAACUGCGUCUGAUACUGGAUGGCUUGAAUCCGGGAGAGGGAUGCAGAAUUCCAGGUGUAGCGGUGAAAUGCGUAGAUAUCUGGAGGAAUACCGGUGGCGAAGGCGGCAUCCUGGACCGGCAUUGACGCUGAGGAGCGAAAGCCAGGGGAGCAAACGGG